AUGCCGAGGCCUCCUCCGCUCGGCCGAGGGGCUCCGGGCGCCAGGCGGCCGAUGCGGGACUUCUUCGCCGCCUGGCUCGCCACCCUCCGCUCGCCGCUCCUCCCGUUGCUCCGCCGCGCGCUCUCCUCCUCCCCCGGCGCCUGGAACGACCCAUUAUCAUCGGCCGCCGCCGCCGUCGAGGCCCACUUCGAGGCGCACUGGUCCGCCCUGGACUCGGCCGCCCGCCAGGACCCCGCCCAGGUCAUCUGCGCCGGAGAUUGGCGGUCGCCCCUGGAGCUCCCCUUCCUCUGGCUCGGCGACUUCCACCCCUCCCUCCUCACCUCCCUUCUCCGAUCGCUGUCGCCUUCGCCGCGGCUCCUCGCCUCCGCCGACCGCGUCGACCGCCGAAUCCGCGCCGCCGUCCCCGUCCUCUCCGACCGCCUCCGCCACGCCCAGGAGGUCUUCACAUCCGCGGAGGUGGCUGGCGGGGCCGACCUGGAGGCGUUCUUGGAGGAGCUCAAGGCCGUCGCCCUCGAGGCUAAUCGGCUCCGUCGGGGCGUUCUUUCGGAUCUCGUUGCUGCCGCCGGUGGGCACCAGGCGGCGCUCUUCCUCGAAGCUCUGUCGCGCUUCGUGCUCUCCAUGCACGACCCGGUGGUGCUCCGCCGCUUCGACCAUUGUCGCCCCUCGCCUGGCAUCUUUGGGAAGCACGAGGCGCGGUAG
rnacentral:rRNA from 1 species